CCUACGGGUGGCAGCAGUGAGGAAUAUUGGUCAAUGGGCGCGAGCCUGAACCAGCCAAGUCGCGUGAGGGAAGACGGUCCUAUGGAUUGUAAACCUCUUUUGUCGAGGAGCAAAAGACGCCACGCGUGGCGUUCCGAGAGUACCCGAAGAAAAAGCAUCGGCUAACUCCGUGCCAGCAGCCGCGGUAAUACGGAGGAUGCGAGCGUUAUCCGGAUUUAUUGGGUUUAAAGGGUGCACAGGCGGAAGAUCAAGUCAGCGGUAAAAUUGAGAGGCUCAACCUCUUCGAGCCGUUGAAACUGGUUUUCUGGAGUGAGCGAGAAGUAGGCGGAAUGCGUGGUGUAGCGGUGAAAUGCAUAGAUAUCACGCAGAACUCCGAUUGCGAAGGCAGCAUACCGGCGCUCAACUGACGCUCAUGCACGAAAGUGUGGGUAUCGAACAGGAUUAGAUACCCUGGUAGUC
rnacentral:rRNA from 1 species